rnacentral:rRNA from 1 species
AGUACGGCGGAACACGUGAAAUUCCGUCGGAAUCCGGGAGGACCAUCUCCCAAGGCUAAAUACUCCCUAGUGACCGAUAGUGAACCAGUACCGUGAGGGAAAGGUGAAAAGCACCCCGGAAGGGGAGUGAAACAGUUCCUGAAACCGUGUGCCUACAAGUAGUUAGAGCCCGUUAAUGGGUGAUAGCGUGCCUUUUGUAGAAUGAACCGGCGAGUUACGAUUUGUUGCAAGGUUAAGCGGAAAAAGCGGAGCCGUAGCGAAAGCGAGUCUGAAUAGGGCGCAUAAGUAACAGGUCGUAGACCCGAAACCAGGUGAUCUACCCAUGUCCAGGAUGAAGGUAAGGUAAUACUUACUGGAGGUCCGAACCCACGCACGUUGAAAAGUGCGGGGAUGAGGUGUGGGUAGCGGAGAAAUUCCAAUCGAACUUGGAGAUAGCUGGUUCUCUCCGAAAUAGCUUUAGGGCUAGCCUCGAGGUAAAGAGUCAUGGAGGUAGAGCACUGUUUGGACUAGGGGCCCUUCUCGGGUUACCGAAUUCAGAU